GCUUGCUCCUUGAUUCAGCGGCGGACGGGUGAGUAAUGCCUAGGAAUCUGCCUGGUAGUGGGGGACAACGUUUCGAAAGGAACGCUAAUACCGCAUACGUCCUACGGGAGAAAGCAGGGGACCUUCGGGCCUUGCGCUAUCAGAUGAGCCUAGGUCGGAUUAGCUAGUUGGUGAGGUAAUGGCUCACCAAGGCGACGAUCCGUAACUGGUCUGAGAGGAUGAUCAGUCACACUGGAACUGAGACACGGUCCAGACUCCUACGGGAGGCAGCAGUGGGGAAUAUUGGACAAUGGGCGAAAGCCUGAUCCAGCCAUGCCGCGUGUGUGAAGAAGGUCUUCGGAUUGUAAAGCACUUUAAGUUGGGAGGAAGGGCAGUAAGUUAAUACCUUGCUGUUUUGACGUUACCGACAGAAUAAGCACCGGCUAACUCUGUGCCAGCAGCCGCGGUAAUACAGAGGGUGCAAGCGUUAAUCGGAAUUACUGGGCGUAAAGCGCGCGUAGGUGGUUUG
rnacentral:rRNA from 1 species